GAAUAAGCACCGGCUAACUCCGUGCCAGCAGCCGCGGUAAUACGGAGGGUGCAAGCGUUAUCCGGAUUCACUGGGUUUAAAGGGUGCGUAGGCGGGCAGGUAAGUCCGUGGUGAAAUCUCUGAGCUUAACUCANAAACUGCCAUGGAUACUAUUUGUCUUGAAUANUGUGGAGGUNAGCGGAAUAUGUCAUGUAGCGGUGAAAUGCUUAGAUAUGACAUNGAACACCAAUUGCGAAGGCAGCUUACUACACANAUAUUGACGCUGAGGCACGAAAGCGUGGGGAUCAAACANGAUUAGAUACCCUGGUAGUCCACGCCCUAAACGAUGAUUACUCGACAUC
rnacentral:rRNA from 1 species